rnacentral:lncRNA from 8 species
CUACCCUGUUGUGAUCUGAGGCUCAGCCGACGUCAUGGCUAUCUCUCCCACCGUAACCCUCCACCUGGACGAUGGUGUGGUGCGUGGUCUGGACCUCCAGUCCUGUGCUGCCCAGCUGUGUAAAGGACAUGGUCACUGUGUGGCUCAGGGACAGGCCACCACCUGUGAGUGUAUCCUGGGGUACAGAGGAGAGUUCUGCCAUGAGAGUGUCAAUGAGGCAAUCAGUGUUCCGCUCACCCUGGGGGUAUUGGCCUUUAUCGUUGGCAUCCUCCUCCUCUCCUUCCUCAUUGCUUUCGUCAGGCAGAGGUUCAAGGUCAAAAGGAAAGCUGCAGCCAAGGAUUCUCGUGGUUUAGAGAGAGACGUUCUGUAGCACCACCAUACUCAAGGUUUGGUUGACGGUCCAACAUCGGAGCACAUCCCCUUCGUCAGGCUUUAUCCCCGGUACAAACAAUUAUAUACUGUAGUACUAUUUAUAUUAACUAUAUACUGUAGUAUUCUUCAUAUGAACUACAUACACUAGUGUUUACUAUACCAUAGGACUUCUUAUAUAAACAACUAUGCUGUGGUACUAAUAGAAAUCCAUAUAUGGUAGUACUACUCGUAUAAAGUAAGGACUGUUUUUUUUGGCUAUAGCUGUGUUCGAAUACUAACAAACUGUAUACUACAUACUUAAGUGUAUAUUACAUACUAUAUACUGUUUGUUGAUUUUAGUAUAUCUGUAAAUGACCGGUAUCCUUUCAGUUGAUUGUACUAGCGCUUCGCCUGUCUUUCGGUAGUUGAUGCUGUUGCUAUGCAACUUCUUGUUAGCAUAGCUAACAAAUUACUAGCUAGACAUUUUACGACUUCAUUGAGAACCCACAAAGACUAUACCACUUAGCUAAGCAAAGAAUAAUCAAGUCAAUAAAUGUUGGAUAGUUAGUAUAUAGUUAAUAUUUCAGUUUGAUGUAUUAGUAGCUUGCUAACAUACGGUAACCUACAAGCAACUGCUGUAAUGAUAUGCUAUGCAGUUCGUAAGGCUAGCAUUGCUAACAAACUGUCACCGAACAUAACGUGUAACGUGACUUAUUUGAAAAGUCGUUACUCCAGAGUGGCGCAGCGGUCUAAGGCACUGCAUCUCAGUGCUAAAGGUGUCACUACAGACCCUGGUUCGAUUCCAGGCUGUAUCACAACCGACUGUGAUUAGGAGUCCCAUAGGGCGGCGCACAAUUGGCCCAGCGUUGUCCGGGUUAGAGUUUGGCCGGGGUAGGCCGUCAUUGUAAAUAAGAAUUUAUUCUCAACUGACUUGCCUAGUUAAACCCAAAAAUGAAAGGCUACGUCAAAAUUACAUUUCU